UUGGGCCAGAAGAUCCAUUCGCUGUG
rnacentral:misc_RNA from 1 species